rnacentral:rRNA from 1 species
UACGGAGGGUGCGAGCGUUAAUCGGAAUUACUGGGCGUAAAGGGUGCGUAGGUGGUUGAUUAAGUUAUCUGUGAAAUUCCUGGGCUUAACCUGGGCUGGUCAGAUGAUACUGGUUGACUCGAGUAUGGGAGAGGGUAGUGGAAUUUCCGGUGUAGCGGUGAAAUGCGUAGAUAUCGCUUGGAACGCCAAAGGUGAAAAACAGGUUGCUGGGGUUGUGCCGACGCUGAGACACGAAAGCCAGGGGAGCAAACGGG